GCCCGGAUGGUCUAGUGGUAUGAUUCGCGCGUUAGGGUUUACCAACCCAUGGACUGCGCGAGGUCCCCGUCGAUCCCGGGUUCGGGCC